UACGUAGGUGGCAAGCGUUGUCCGGAUUUACUGGGCGUAAAGAGCGCGCAGGCGGUCGUUCAAGUCGCGUGUGAAAGCCCCCGGCUCAACUGGGGAGGGUCACGCGAUACUGAUCGACUCGAAGGCAGGAGAGGGUAGUGGAAUUCCCGGUGUAGUGGUGAAAUGCGUAGAUAUCUGGAGGAACACCGGUGGCGAAGGCGGCGUUCUGGACUGUAUCUGACACUGAGGAACGAAAGCCAGGGGAGCAAACGGG
rnacentral:rRNA from 1 species